rnacentral:rRNA from 1 species
UGAACGCUGGCGGCGUGCCUAAUACAUGCAAGUCGAGCGAACAGACGAGGAGCUUGCUCCUCUGACGUUAGCGGCGGACGGGUGAGUAACACGUGGAUAACCUACCUAUAAGACUGGGAUAACUUCGGGAAACCGGAGCUAAUACCGGAUAAUAUAUUGAACCGCAUGGUUCAAUAGCGAAAGACGGUUUUGCUGUCACUUAUAGAUGGAUCCGCGCCGCAUUAGCUAGUUGGUAAGGUAACGGCUUACCAAGGCAACGAUGCGUAGCCGACCUGAGAGGGUGAUCGGCCACACUGGAACUGAGACACGGUCCAGACUCCUACGGGAGGCAGCAGUAGGGAAUCUUCCGCAAUGGGCGAAAGCCUGACGGAGCAACGCCGCGUGAGUGAUGAAGGUCUUCGGAUCGUAAAACUCUGUUAUUAGGGAAGAACAAAUGUGUAAGUAACUAUGCACGUCUUGACGGUACCUAAUCAGAAAGCCACGGCUAACUACGUG